UGUCAUGUUGAACUGAGAGCUGAUGACGCAAGUCUAGUUGAGCCAUGCUUACAAGAAAAGCCGCUAAGUGAUGAAGCAAUGUUGACCGUACCGCAAACCGACACAGGUGGGCUGGUAGAAUAUACUGAGGCGUUUGAGAGAUACCAGGCAAAGGAACUCUGCAAAAUACUACCGUAACUUCGGGAGAAGGUAGGCUCGUAAUCGUGAAGGUUGCACAACUGGAGCGAAGAUGAGUGGCACAGAAUGGGACUAGCGACUGUUUAUCAAAAACACAGGACUCUGCGAAAUUGUAAGAUGACGUAUAGGGUCUGACGCCUGCCCGGUGCUGGAAGGUUAAAAGGAGGAGUCAGGGCAACUGAAGCUCCGAAUUGAAGCCCCAGUAAACGGCGGCCGUAACAAUAACGGUCCUAAGGUAGCGAAAUUCCUUGUCGGGUAAGUUCCGACCUGCACGAAGGGCGUAACGACUGGUCCGCUGUCUCUGCCUGGUACUCAGCGAAAUUGAACAGGGGGUGAAAAUGCCCCCCACCCGCGACAGGACGGAAAGACCCCGUGAACCUUUACUGCAACUUGGCAUUGGGUUUUUGGAUUUAUUGUGUAGGAUAGGUGGAAGACUGAGAGCCUAGGGUGCAAGCCCUGGGGGAGUCGCCGUUGAAAUACCACCCUGUAAAUCUGGGAAUUCUAACCAUGGUCACUGGAAGCGUGACUUGGGACAGUGUCUGGUGGGCAGUUUGACUGGGGCGGUCGCCUCCCAAAGAGUAACGGAGGCGCGCAAAGGUUACCUCAGGCCGGAUGGAAACCGGCUGUAGAGCGUAAGGGCAGAAGGUAGCCUGACUGAAAGACCGACGGGUCGAACAGACACGAAAGUGGGUCCUAGUGACCCGGUGGCACCGCAUGGAAGGGCCAUCGCUCAACGGAUAAAAGGUACUCCGGGGAUAACAGGCUGAUCUAAUCCAAGAGUUCACAUCGACGAUUAGGUUUGGCACCUCGAUGUCGGCUCAUCACAUCCUGGGGCUGGAGCAGGUCCCAAGGGUUUGGCUGUUCGCCAAUUAAAGUGGUACGCGAGCUGGGUUCAGAACGUCAUGAGACAGUUCGGUCCCUAUCCGUCGUGGGCGUAGAAGAGUUGAGGGAAACUGACCUUAGUACGAGAGGACCGGGUUGGACGAACCGCUGGUGUACCAGUUGUCAUGCCAAUGGCACAGCUGGGUAGCUAUGUUCGGACGGGAUAACCGCUGAAAGCAUCUAAGCGGGAAGCCCAUCCCAAGAUGAGCUCUUUUGGACGCAAGUCCACAAGGCACUUGGAGACUAUGAGUUUGAUAGGGUGGAGGUGUAAGCGCUGUGAGGCGUUGAGCUGACCACUACUAAUCGCCUC
rnacentral:rRNA from 1 species